CGCGACGACGACCUGCCGCCGCACUCCGAGCGUGUGUCUCGAAGUUUCUCUGUGUCCGUCAGGUUACCUGCAAAAUUUUGCAUAAUAAUAGGAGUGAAAAAAUCGGUUACCUAGUGGCCUGGGAAAGACGUCCGUCGAAUCCUCCCAGCAUGGUCCGCGUGUCGACUGGGGCAAAAUGCCGAGCGGCAGACAGGCCGCGUAGCCGACGUAGCCCUCUUGACCGUGGGGUGUCUGGACAUAAAGCCAGGCUUGGUUUUUAAAAACUGCGUUGACCACAGUUCCCAACGGCAGCGCAAGCUCGGCUUGCGUGCCGCCCUGCGUCUGGUACAGCACUGACGGGAAUGACAGUACCACAGGAAUGUUGGCUGGUCGUUCGAUCGAUGCCUGAUCAAAUUUUCGGGUGUUUAUUUCGAUUGCCUCUAGGCCAUUGUGUUGCUGCUGAUUGCGUAGGACCCAAGUGAGCGAAAUCUUCGGUCUAAGGAGGCUGACGCUGCUGGGCCGUUGUCCCAUGAUGAUCGUCGGGCUGUCGGGUCGCGGCGAGAUUGACCUCGCGGGCGACGCCGGCCGCGACGACGAAGACACUACCGGCUCCGGGCAGUCCGCCACCAGGUCCACCGCCUGCACCGUACACCCAUUUUCCUGUCGAAAGUUAUACCGCCAUUUCAAAGUUAACGAGCCAGUCGACGUUUGGAAAUAAGAUAAAAGCAGCGUUACACCUUCAGCUAAUUGAUUAUACAGUUCGGAAUAAUCCAAGAAAACCACAAGUUUACGAUCAUAAACAGUUCGAUGCGUUCACGCAUCAUCGAGCACGCCUUGAAUUAAUCGCUCGUGCAGAUCGACAAUCACACUGCAGGUUCACGAUCGACAUGUACGUAAGUGCGCGUAAACAGCUCGACGGAAUGUCGUCGCGUAUAAUCGCUUGCCGAGAGAGAGAGAGAGAGAGAGAGAGAGAGAGAGAGAGAGUGUGUGAGAGAGAGAG